CCUCCUCUAACCACUAAUACCCUGAUGCCUUCUUCUUCAAAUUUGAAGAUUAUCAUUACUACCAUCUCUUUCUUCAAAUCUACCUAUAGUAACCAAUUUGGGUCAUAAGCAAAUACCCACAAUCCAACUAUCAUAUUAUUACCAUCUCUUCAAUCCUUCAAAUUCGUCCUCUCUUUUUUUUCAAUUACCUUCACCGUUGAAACUGCUCGUUUUGAAAGUUUCAAAGUACCCAAAAAAAACUAUCCAUGAUAAAAUUAGAUCUAUUUAUGAAUUUACUUGAAAUGGGUUCUUCAAAAUAGAAAAAGUUAAAAGCUUUGAGAAGUAGAAAA
rnacentral:lncRNA from 1 species